rnacentral:rRNA from 1 species
GACGAACGCUGGCGGCGUGCUUAACACAUGCAAGUCGAACGGGCCCGCCCCUGUUUUUGGGGGUGGGUUGAGUGGCGAACGGGUGAGUAUCACGUGAGUAACCUGCCCCCUGCUCCUGGAUAACUGCUUGAAAGGGCGGCUAAUACGGGGUGUGCCGGCUGGUCCGCAUGGGCCUGGUCGGGAUAGUUUCAUCUUCGGGUGUUUCGGUGGGGGAUGGGCUCGCGGCCUAUCAGCUUGUUGGUGGGGUGAUGGCCCACCAAGGCGGUGACGGGUAGCCGGCCUGAGAGGGUGGGCGGCCACACUGGGACGGAGACACGGCCCAGACUCCUGCGGGAGGCAGCAGUGGGGGGUAUUGCACAAUGGGCGGAAGCCUGAUGCAGCGACGUCGCGUGAGGGAUGGAGGCCUUCGGGUUGUGAACCUCUUUCUCCGGUGGUGAAGGCCCUGUCCGUUGCGGCGGGGUUGACGGUGGCCGGGUAUGAAGCGCCGGCUAACUACGUG